AAAAAAAAAAAACCUGGGUUUCCGUGUCCAACUUUGACUGUCCGUCUUAUAUGAAAUUUUUUUAUAAUUCGUAUUUUUAUUGUUGUUAGAUGAUAAAACAUGAUUAAUACUUUGUGCGUGACUUGUCUUUUUAAUUUUUUUCAUAAUUUUUUCAAAUAAGACGGACGGUCAAACGUUGGGCACGGAAAUCAGGGUUUGUCUUUUU
rnacentral:pre_miRNA from 1 species